rnacentral:rRNA from 1 species
GAUGAACGCUGGCGGCGUGCCUAACGCAUGCAAGUCGAACGGAGAUUACGGACGGAAGUUUUCGGAUGGAAGACUGUAAUUCUUAGUGGCGGACGGGUGAGUAACGCGUGGGCAACCUGCCCUAUACAGGGGGAUAGCAGCUGGAAACGGCUGGUAAGACCGCAUAAGUCGGCGAGACCGCAUGGUUUUGCCGGGAAAUGAGCAAUCAGGUAUAGGAUGGGCCCGCGUCCGAUUAGCCAGUUGGCAGGGUAAAAGCCUACCAAAGCAACGAUCGGUAGCCGGACUGAGAGGUCGGACGGCCACAUUGGGACUGAGACACGGCCCAAACUCCUACGGGAGGCAGCAGUGGGGGAUAUUGCACAAUGGAGGAAACUCUGAUGCAGCGACGCCGCGUGAGUGAAGAAGUAUUUCGGUAUGUAAAGCUCUAUCAGCAGGGAAGAUGAUGACGGUACCUGACGAAGAAGCCCCGGCUAACUACGUG